AGAGUUUGAUCCUGGCUCAGGAUGAACGCUGGCGGCGUGCUUAACACAUGCAAGUCGAACGAUUAAAGCCCCUUCGGGGGUGUAUAGAGUGGCGAACGGGUGAGUAACACGUGGGCAACCUGCCCUGCGCUUCGGGAUAACCCAGGGAAACUUGGGCUAAUACCGGAUACUCCUUGGGGAUCGCAUGAUCCUCUCGGGAAAGUUCCGGCGGCGCAGGAUGGGCCCGCGGCCCAUUAGCUUGUUGGUAGGGUAAUGGCCUACCAAGGCGACGAUGGGUAGCCGAGCUGAGAGGCUGAUCGGCCACACUGGGACUGAGACACGGCCCAGACUCCUACGGGAGGCAGCAGUGGGGAAUUUUGCGCAAUGGGCGAAAGCCUGACGCAGCAACGCCGCGUGCGGGAUGAAGGCUCUCGGGUCGUAAACCGCUUUCAGCAGGGAUGAAAUUGACAGUACCUGCAGAAGAAGCCCCGGCUAAAUACGUGCCAGCAGCCGCGGUAAUACGUAUGGGGCAAGCGUUAUCCGGAUUCAUUGGGCGUAAAGAGCGCGUAGGCGGAUUGUUAAGCGCGAUGUGAAAACUGGGGGCUCAACCCGCAGCCUGCAUCGCGAACUGGCAGUCUUGAGUCUGGUAGAGGAGUGUGGAAUUCCCAGUGUAGCGGUGAAAUGCGCAGAUAUUGGGAGGAACACCAGUGGCGAAGGCGGCACUCUGGGCCACGACUGACGCUGAGGCGCGAAAGCUAGGGGAGCGAACAGGAUUAGAUACCCUGGUAGUCCUAGCCGUAAACGAUGGGCACUAGGUGUGGGGGGUAUAACUCCCUCCGUGCCGCAGCUAACGCAUUAAGUGCCCCGCCUGGGGAGUACGGCCGCAAGGCUAAAACUCAAAGGAAUUGAUGG
rnacentral:rRNA from 1 species